rnacentral:rRNA from 1 species
AUAAUAAUCGGGCAUAAGUAUACCACCGAAGCUAUGGACUUAUUUUAUAAGUGGUAGGGGAGCAUUCUAGUUACGUUGAAGGUGCAUGGCAAUGUGUGCUGGAGUGGCUAGAAAAGAAAAUGUAGGAAUGAGUAACGAUAAUGCGGGCGAGAAACCCGCACACCGUAAGACUAAGGUUUCCUGAACAACGCUAAUCGGUUCAGGGUUAGUCGGGUCCUAAGGCGCACCCGAAUGGGGAAGUCGA